rnacentral:lncRNA from 1 species
GACAACGCUGACCACUGCUUUAAGUGCUCAAGAGAAGGGUAAGCUACCAGCUCAACCACAACCUAACCCUCAAGUCUACGGCGGUAGCAAUGCAUCAUCUUCAACUUCGCAUAAAGAGCAAGCAAAGAGUAUAAUAACAUUGCGAAGUGGAAAGAUUAUUGACCGACCAGUCCCAGAACAAAUACAAGUCAUACCUGAUUUUGACCCUCCCAAGACAAAAGAAAAGGAUAAUGAAGAAACUGAAGCACCAACAUCUACUGAAAAAAAUUGAAUGUGUUGCCCAGAUAGACAACCCAAGAGGGGGGGUGAAUUGGGUUUUAAAAUAAUUUUACAAUUAAAACUUUUGUAGAUGACUAAUUAAUACUUUUGCAAGGUGAUUAAUUAGUUGCUAUGUGCUGUGAGUGAAAUGAGAAUGAG